AACGAACGCUGGCGGCAGGCCUAACACAUGCAAGUCGAGCGAGGACUUCGGUUCUAGCGGCGGACGGGUGAGUAACGCGUGGGAAUGUGCCCUUCUCUACGGAAUAGCCCUGGGAAACUGGGAGUAAUAACGUAUACGCCCUAUUGGGGAAAGAUUUAUCGGAGAAGGAUCAGCCCGCGUUGGAUUAGGUCGUUGGUGGGGUAAUGGCCUACCAAGCCGACGAUCCAUAGCUGGUUUGAGAGGAUGAUCAGCCACACUGGGACUGAGACACGGCCCAGACUCCUACGGGAGGCAGCAGUGGGGAAUCUUAGACAAUGGGGGCAACCCUGAUCAAGCCAUGCCGCGUGAGUGAUGAAGGCCUUAGGGUUGUAAAGCUCUUUCAGCUGGGAAGAUAAUGACGGUACCAGCAGAAGAAGCCCCGGCUAACUCCGUG
rnacentral:rRNA from 1 species